UAUAAACCAGGCAGUUUGGCUGCAGGAGGCCAGGCAGCAACAUUGCCUGGCUGUAGCGCUGCUGUGAACACCUGGAGGAUCUGCUGAUCACCAGGGAAGUGGGGGUGCAGAGAUGUGAGAGCUGGGUUAUGAAUCCAUUCUCCCUUCCUAACUUCACCAACUCCAGCAUUCCAUACAGUCCCUCUUGCUGAUGCCCCUUGACUUCAAAAUGUUCUGCUCUGAUGGAAGCAAAGUUAGGAAUUGAGAGGCUUCAUCUUCAGGAAUGGAAAACUCACAUUUCUUGAAUCUCCUUGUCUUCUGUCUUGUGUUAGCCAUCAGCUAAGACUAUGAGGUAGACUGGAUCAGCAGCAGAACUUCUGUCUAAGAACUCUGGUUUCACUAUGGUGCCUCCCCUAACAUAAAACAGUAUUAAACACCCUGUACUGAAAGCAGUUACAGGGAACAAACAAAAAGGAAGCACAGGUAUGUGGCACACAAGCACCUCUUCCAGGCUACCUUCUUGUAUUCUAGCAUUGAUUAAUUAACCUAAAAAUAAUAAUCUUUUAGUUCUAAUACUUGCAGGGAAAUCUUGUGAAAUAGGAAGCACCAAUGCUUUAGUAUCUAAAGAACAAAUGCUUUAGUAUCUGCUUGAAUUUAUAGAGACUGGAAUAAUAGGUCAUAAAUGGGUGAAUUGUUCCUGCUCAUCUCGGGGAGAGGCAUUAAAUGUAGUUAGUAAACUAACUUCAUUAGUUAACUAUUUCACUGUUUGUUCAAAGCAUGGAAUAAAUGACAGUGCAUUAUGUAUAGGUCUACAAUCCUAUUCUGCUGUGUCACCCUCAUGGCAUAAGAAGAAAUGAGGCAAUGGAGCCCUUCAAAAAGGGCAAAGGCCCCAAAGGCAGAUCAAUAAUCUCUGUUCCAUGGACAUGCCAGAUAGUCCCAGCAAAGUCCCCUGUGAAUCAUGGCAAUUUAGUUUGUCAUGUCUUUGUCUGAAGUAAUGCAAAAAGAGCACGGAGGCAGAGGUGAGGCCAUGGUUAGUGGAUCUGCAACUACAUGAAUGUUUUUGUCAAACUUCAGGCACAUCUACAGUACUUCUGGGUGCCCCUGCUGUCAUCCUGGAAUCUGGGGCAGGAUUUUGACACAUCAACCUCACAGAAAAACCAUUUAUUUUUACAACGUAUGAGGUUUUAUUCUAGAGUGAAGGAAUGUGAUGAGCAUUUAAGCUAGGCAGAGAAUUUACUUUUCCUCUCCUAUCUUGAGAUGGUUACAAAAAGUUCAUGAAGUUUGUAGAUCAAACAUAGAGAUUGGCAACACUCUAUUUAUUAAUUUAAUUAAUGUUAUGACCUCUUGGACCUAAUCCUGUUUUGGGACAAUAUGUCCUUCCAGCUGUUUGGUGGUUGCACUAGACUUCAUUGCAAUAUUUGCUUUUCCAUCAGUUGUAAGAAAAUAAGAAACAAUUUCACUGAAAGUUUUCAAUAAAUAUUUUGUGCUUCUUCAGUUUGCACAUGUACAUGCAAAUAUACAAUAUUGAGUUGUACUUACACUUUUCAAAUCACACUUACAGCUUCACACCUGAAUACUACAGCUCAUACCUGUGUUUUUAGACACAAAAAUGCAGGGCUAGGUCAACUGAACAAAGACCUUAACAUUUUCUGCCUCUUCCCUUCCCCAUUCUUUAACCUGUGGACUAAACACACAGUGAAACAGCAUGUCAAAAGUAAAUGAGAUAUCAAAUAUUUGUGGCAUAGUGGAAACAUUGCAGUCCAGGUAGGCAGUUUUCAUAAAGAGGUUGCCUCUUUGUCAGAUUUUUCCAUAUCCCAACUUCCUGUUAUCAUGACCUGGGAAUCCUCCUCCUAAAUCCUCAAGAGUGUAUGUAUAUAGAUAUAGAUAUAGAUAUAGAUAUAUAAUAGUAAUGGUGCAUUAAUGAACAUGUAGACCUGCUCCGUGUGACCCAACAUUGCUGCUAUUUGGGUGGUGCACAUCUUCUCAUUGUGCACCAGCUGAGAGAAACAUGUUAAAGUGUCAAAAAGUGGAACUGAUUUUAAAACAGACUUAUCUAAAGCAAUUUUAAGGCCAGUUGGAAAAGCUUCUCACUAGCUGAGGCACAGCUGGACUGAUGAUAUGGAUGUGUACCCUGUCAGGAAAAGCAAAGUAUCGGUUUUAAAAAGAGUAGUGAAGAGAUGUAAAGUAGGAUGUAAAGAGAGUACAAAGAGAAGUGAAUGGAAACAAGAGAACUUUUUUUUGCCCCUGAGUACUUGCAUUUCCCUAGAAAACAUUCAGGGUAUGCCCUUGCUUUGAUUGAUAAUGUAUUCCUCCAGCAGUACAACCCACCCUCCUGUUUUCCUUCAUCACUGCAGCUGCACAUUGUGCUGAAGG